CGGUGGCUGCUGGGCUGGCGGGGCGCAGGCCGCGGGACCCGAGCCCGGGGGAGCGAGAGAGCGGAGGCGCCGAGGAUCCGAUUCAUUCGCUGGGGAGACCUAUGGGCCGAAGCCGUGUAGAUGCGUUUUAAGGGGCCUCGGCUCCGCAACUGCCACUCCUCCUCGGGGUGUUGCACAAGUUUCGAGGUCACCGGCGACCCCCCCUAGCAGCGCUCCUGGCUCUGGCCCCCGCGAAGGAGGACGGAGUUUGGCAGAGAUGGAGUUGGUCCAGCAUAUUGGAAUCCCUGCCAGUAAGAUCAUCUGCGCCAACCCCUGUAAGCAAAUUGCACAGAUCAAAUAUGCUGCCAAGCAUGGGAUCCAGCUGCUGAGCUUUGACAAUGAGAUGGAGCUGGCAAAGGUGGUAAAGAGCCACCCCAGUGCCAAGAUGGUUCUGUGCAUUGCUACUGAUGACUCCCACUCCCUGAGCUGCCUGAGCCUAAAGUUUGGAGUGUCACUGAAAUCCUGCAGACACCUGCUUGAAAAUGCGAAGAAGAACCAUGCGGAGGUGGUGGGUGUGAGUUUUCACAUUGGCAGUGGCUGUCCUGACCCUCAGGCCUAUGCUCAGUCCAUCGCAGAUGCCCGGCUCGUGUUUGAAAUGGGCACCGAGCUGGGUCACAAGAUGCACGUUCUGGACCUUGGUGGUGGCUUCCCUGGCACAGAAGGGGCCAAAGUGAGAUUUGAAGAGAUUGCUUCCGUGAUCAACUCAGCCUUGGACCUGUACUUCCCAGAGGGCUGUGGCGUGGACAUCUUUGCUGAGCUGGGGCGCUACUACGUGACCUCGGCCUUCACUGUGGCAGUCAGCAUCAUUGCCAAGAAGGAGGUUCUGCUAGACCAGCCUGG
rnacentral:sRNA from 1 species